GGACUCUUAGCUCAGUUGGUAGAGCGUCCGGUUUACAUCCGGCAGGUCAGAGGUUCGAAUCCUCUAGAGUCCA
rnacentral:tRNA from 1 species